CUAACGGUGUUUUUCAACACCUCUAAAAUUGUCAUAAAACCAUUA
rfam:Pelodiscus sinensis unplaced genomic scaffold scaffold97, whole genome shotgun sequence.